rnacentral:rRNA from 1 species
AGCGAAUAGAUACCCGGGUAGUCCCAGCCGUAAACGAUGCUCGCUAGGUGUCAGGCAUGGCGCGACCGUGUCUGGUGCCGCAGGGAAGCCGUGAAGCGAGCCACCUGGGAAGUACGGCCGCAAGGCUGAAACUUAAAGGAAUUGGCGGGGAGCACAACAACGGGUGGAGCCUGCGGUUUAAUUGGACUCAACGCCGGACAACUCACCGGGGGCGACAGCAAUAUGUAGGCCGAGCUGAAGACUUUGCCUGAAUCGCUGAGAGGAGGUGCAUGGCCGUCGCCAGUUCGUACUGUGAAGCAUCCUGUUAAGUCAGGCAACGAGCGAGACCCGUGCCCACUGUUACCAGCAUGUCCUUUGGGAUGAUGGGUACUCUGUGGGGACCGCCGGUGUCAAAUCGGAGGAAGGUGCGGGCCACGGUAGGUCAGUAUGCCCCGAAUCUCCCGGGCUACACGCGGGCUACAAUGAAUGGGACAAUGGGUCCUUCCCUGAAAAGGGUUGGUAAUCUCACAAACCCAUCCUUAGUUCGGAUUGAGGGCUGUAAC